UACGUAGGGGUGCGAGCGUUUAAUCGGAAUUACUGGGCGUAAAGCGUGCGCAGGCGGUUGUGCAAGACAGAGGUGAAAUCCCCGGGCUUAACCUGGGAAUGGCCUUUGUGACUGCACGGCUAGAGUGUGUCAGAGGGGGGUAGAAUUCCACGUGUAGCAGUGAAAUGCGUAGAGAUGUGGAGGAAUACCGAUGGCGAAGGCAGCCCCCUGGGAUAACACUGACGCUCAUGCACGAAAGCGUGGGGAGCAAACAGG
rnacentral:rRNA from 1 species